UACGGAGGGUGCAAGCGUUACUCGGAAUCACUGGGCGUAAAGCGUGUGUAGGUGGCUUCAUAAGUCUGGUGUGAAAGCCCGGGGCUCAACCCCGGAAGUGCAUUGGAUACUGUGAAGCUGGAGUAUGGGAGAGGAGAGUGGAAUUCCAGGUGUAGAGGUGAAAUUCGUAGAUAUUCGCAAGAACACCAGUGGCGAAGGCGGCUCACUGGCCCGGUACUGACGCUGAGGUGCGAAAGCGUGGGGAGCAAACAGG
rnacentral:rRNA from 1 species